AUGACAAGCGUGACCAAAAAUCAGUUUGGUUUCAUGCCUGGGAGGUCGACCAUGGAAGGCAUUUUCUUGGUACGACAACUUAUGAAGAGAUAUAGGGAGCAUAAGAAGGACUUGCAUAUGGUGUUCAUUAACUUGGAGAAGGCCUAUGAUAAGAUACCGCGGAAUGUCAUGUGGUGGGCCUUGGAGAAACACAAAGUCCCAGCAAAGUACAUUACCCUCAUCAAGGACAUGUACAAUAAUGUGACAAGUGUUCGAACAAGUGAUGUCGACACCGAUGACUUCCCGAUUAAGAUAGGACUGCAUCAGGGGUCAGCUUUGAGCCCUUAUCUUUUUGCAUUGGUGAUGGAUGAGGUCACAAGGGGUAUACAAGGAGAUAUCCCAUGGUGUAUGCUCUUUGCGGAUGAUGUGGUGCUAGUUGACGAUAGUCGGACGGGGGUAAAUAGGAAGUUAGAGUUAUGGAGACAAACCUUGGAAUCGAAAGGGUUUAGGCUUAGUAGAACUAAAACCAAGUACAUGAUGUGCGGUUUCAGUACUACUAGCUGUGAGGAGGAGGAGGUUAGCCUUGAUGGCCAGGUGUUACCUCAGAAGGACACCUUUCGGUAUUUGGGGUCAAUGUUGCAGGAGGAUGCGGGUAUUGAUGAAGAUGUGAACCAUCGAAUCAAAGCCGGAUGGAUGAAGUGGCGCCAAGCUUCUGGCAUUCUCUGUGACAAGAGAGUGCCACAAAAGGUAAAAGGAAAGUUCUACAGGACGGCGGUUCGACCCGCAAUGUUGUAUGGCACGGAGUGUUGGCCGACUAAAAGGCGACAUGUUCAACAGUUAGGUGUGGCGGAGAUGCGUAUGUUGAGAUGGAUGUGUGGCCACACGAGGAAGGAUCGAGUCCGGAAUGAUGAUAUAUGA
rnacentral:rRNA from 1 species